GUCCUCAUGGGUGCAUUUGAGGUCUGGCCUGCCCACUGAUGAUUAUUUUAAAGGGCCGCGGUAUACUAACCGUGCGAAGGUAGCAUAGUCAAUAGUCUUUUAAUUGGAGGCUUGAAUGAAUGGUCGGACAUGGGGGAUACUGUCUAUCAAUCUAUAGAUGUGAAUUUAACUUUUGUGUGAAAAGGCAUUAAUAUCUUAAAGGGACGAUAAGACCCUAUAAAACUUUUACGUUUAAUUGUGGCCUCAUAACUUGGGGGUAACAAGAGGUUUUCAAGGUGCGUUAUGCUGGGGCGGCAGGAAUAUAAUUUGUAACUGUUCUUAAGAUGAAAUAAUAAUAAUUAGGAGUUGACCUUAAAUUUUAGGUUGUGAGAGUAAGUUACUUUAGGGAUAACAGCGUUAUUUCUCUUGAGAGUUCAUAUCGACAGGGAUAUUUGCGACCUCGAUGUUGAAUUAAAGUUUUUCCUGGGAGUAGGAAUUCAGGUAAUAGGUCUGUUCGACCUUUAAAACUUUACAUGAUUUGAGUUCAAACCGGUGUGAG
rnacentral:rRNA from 1 species